AGAGUAGAGUGGCGCACGGGUGAGUAACGCGUAAGUUAUCUACCCUCCCAUCUGGAAUAACUCACCGAAAGGUGUGCUAAUACCGGAUACGUUGAUUUAUCAAGAAAGGUGGCCUCUAUUUAUAAGCUACCGUGGGGGGAUGAGCUUGCGUACCAUUAGCUAGUUGGUAGGGUAAUGGCCUACCAAGGCAACGAUGGUUAGCGGGUCUGAGAGGAUGAUCCGCCACACUGGAACUGGAACACGGACCAGACUCCUACGGGAGGCAGCAGUGAGGAAUAUUGCGCAAUGGGGGAAACCCUGACGCAGCGACGCCGCGUGGAUGAUGAAGGCCUUUGGGUCGUAAAAUCCUGUCAGAUGGAAAGAAAUGCUAUUAUGCUAAUAUCAUAGUAGUUUGACGGUACCAUCAAAGGAAGCACCGGCUAACUCCGUGCCAGCAGCCGCGGUAAUACGGAGGGUGCAAGCGUUGUUCGGAAUUACUGGGCGUAAAGCGCGCGUAGGUGGUUGUGUAAGUCA
rnacentral:rRNA from 1 species